rnacentral:rRNA from 1 species
UACGAAGGGGGCUAGCGUUGCUCGGAAUCACUGGGCGUAAAGCGCACGUAGGUGGGUCGUUAAGUCAGGGGUGAAAUCCUGGAGCUCAACUCCAGAACUGCCUUUGAUACUGAAAGUCUUGAGUAUGGGAGAGGUGAGUGGAACUGCGAGUGUAGAGGUGAAAUUCGUAGAUAUUCGCAAGAACACCAGUGGCGAAGGCGGACUCACUGGCC